rnacentral:rRNA from 1 species
UGUUGCUGGUCCUCAAAUGGGGACACGUGCACGCUCUGUUUACACAUCCACUCACACCUGUGCACCCUCUGUAGUUCUACGGUCUGGGGGACCUUGUCUUCCUUCCGUGGUUCUAUGUCUUUACACACACACUGUAAUAAAGUCUUAUGGAAUGUAUGCCGCGUCUAACGCAAUACAAUACAACUUUCAGCAACGGAUCUCUUGGCUCUCGCAUCGAUGAAGAACGCAGCGAAAUGCGAUAAGUAAUGUGAAUUGCAGAAUUCAGUGAAUCAUCGAAUCUUUGAACGCACCUUGCGCCCCUUGGCUAUUCCGAGGGGCAUGCCUGUUUGAGUAUCAUGAACACCUCAACCUCUCAUGGUUUGCCAUGAUGAGCUUGGACCUUGGGGGUUUUGCCGGCCUGUGGUCGGCUCCUCUCAAAUGAAUCAGCCUCCCAGUGUUUGGUGGCGUCACGAGUGUGAUAACUAUCUACGCUCGCAGUCGUCCACCAGGUAACCUUUGGUGACAAAGGUUCGCUGGAGCUCAUAGAUGUCUCUCCUCAGCGAGGACAGCUUUUGAACGUUCGAUCUCAAAUCAGGUAGGACUACCCGCUGAACUUAAGCAUAUCAAUAAGCGGAGGAAAAGAAACUAACAAGGAUUCCCCUAGUAACUGCGAGUGAAGCGGGAAGAGCUCAAAUUUAAAAUCUGGCGUGCCUCUGGUCGUCCGAGUUGUAGUCUAGARAAGUGUUUUCCGUGCUGGACCGUGUACAAGUCUCC